AUUGAACGCUGGCGGCAGGCCUAACACAUGCAAGUCGAAUGGUAACAGGAAACAGCUUGCUGUUUCGCUGACGAGUGGCGGACGGGUGAGUAAUGUCUGGGAAACUGCCUGAUGGAGGGGGAUAACUACUGGAAACGGUAGCUAAUACCGCAUAACGUCGCAAGACCAAAGAGGGGGACCUUCGGGCCUCUUGCCAUCAGAUGUGCCCAGAUGGGAUUAGCUAGUAGGUGGGGUAACGGCUCACCUAGGCGACGAUCCCUAGCUGGUCUGAGAGGAUGACCAGCCACACUGGAACUGAGACACGGUCCAGACUCCUACGGGAGGCAGCAGUGGGGAAUAUUGCACAAUGGGCGCAAGCCUGAUGCAGCCAUGCCGCGUGUAUGAAGAAGGCCUUCGGGUUGUAAAGUACGUUCAGCGGGGAGGAAGGGAGUAAAGUUAAUACCUUUGCUCAUUGACGUUACCCGCAGAAGAAGCACCGGCUAACUCCGUG
rnacentral:rRNA from 1 species